rnacentral:tRNA from 3 species
GGGGUUGUAGCUCAGAUGGAAGAGCAUUCGCCUUGCAAGCGAAAGGUCACGGGUUCGAGUCCCGUCUGCUCCACCA